AGUCGAACGGUAACGGGGAGGAGCUUGCUUCUCUGCCGACGAGUGGCGGACGGGUGAGUAAAGUCUGGGGAUCUGCCUGAUGGAGGGAGAUAACCACUGGAAACGGUGGCUAAUACCGCAUAAAGUUGCGAGACCAAAGCGAGGGACUUACGGGCCACGCGCCAUCAGAUGAACCCAGAUGGGAUUAGCUAGAAGGUGGGGUAAAGGCUCACCUUGGCGACGAUCUCUAGCUGGUCUGAGAGGAUGACCAGCCACACUGGAACUGAGAGACGGUCCAGACUCCUACGGGAGGCAGCAGUGGGGAAUAUUGCACAAUGGGGGAAACCCUGAUGCAGCCAUGCCGCGUGUGUGAAGAAGGCUUUCGGGUUGUAAAGCACUAUCAGCGGGGAAGAAGGCUUAAUGUUUAAGAGAUAUUAAGAUUGACGUUACCCGCAGAAGAAGCACCGGCAAACUCCGUGCCAGCAGCCGCGGUAAUACGGAGGGUGCGAGCGUUAAUCGGAAUUACUGGGCGUAAAGGGCACGCAGGCGGCGCAUUAAGUCAGAUGUGAAAUCCCCGGGCUCAACCUGGGAAUGGCAUUUGAAACUGGUGAGCUAGAGUUUUGUAGAGGGGGGUAGAAUUCCAGGUGUAGCGGUGGAAUGCGUAGAUAUCUGGAGGAAUACCGGUGGCGAAGGCGGCCCCCUGGACGAAGACUGACGCUCAUGUGCGAAAGCGUGGGUAGCAAACAGGAUUAGAUACCCUGGUAGUCCACGCUGUAAACGAUGUCGAUUGAGAGGAUGAAGCUAUAAGCAUUGUCUUCUGUAGCUAACGCGUUAAAUCGACCGCCUGGGGAGUACGGCCGCAAGGUUAAAACUCAAAUGAAUUGAC
rnacentral:rRNA from 1 species